ACACGACCGUACCGCAAACCGACACUGGUGCGCGAGAUGAGUAUUCUAAGGCGCUUGAGAGAACUCAGGAGAAGGAACUCGGCAAAUUGACACCGUAACUUCGGAAGAAGGUGUGCCUUUAGUAGGUGAACCUGUACAAGGGGAGCCCAAUGAGGUUGCAAAAAAUCGGUGGCUGCGACUGUUUAAUAAAAACACAGCACUCUGCAAACACGAAAGUGGACGUAUAGGGUGUGACGCCUGCCCGGUGCUGGAAGAUUAAAUGAUGGGGUGCAAGCUCUUGAUUGAAGUCCCAGUAAACGGCGGCCGUAACGAUAACGGUCCUAAGGUAGCGAAAUUCCUUGUCGGGUAAGUUCCGACCUGCACGAAUGGCGUAACGAUGGCCACACUGUCUCCUCCUGAGACUCAGCGAAGUUGAAAUGUUUGUGAUGAUGCAAUCUCCCCGCGGAAAGACGGAAAGACCCCAUGAACCUUUACUGUAGCUUUGUAUUGGACUUUGAACAGAUCUGUGUAGGAUAGGUGGGAGGCUUUGAAGUGUGGUCGCUAGAUCGCAUGGAGCCAACGUUGAAAUACCACCCUGGUGUGUUUGAGGUUCUAACCUAGGCCCGUAAUCCGGGUCGGGGACAGUGCAUGGUAGGCAGUUUGACUGGGGCGGUCUCCUCCCAAAGCGUAACGGAGGAGUUCGAAGGUACGCUAGGUACGGUCGGACAUCGUGCUAAUAGUGCAAUGGCAUAAGCGUGCUUAACUGCGAGACUGACAAGUCGAGCAGAUGCGAAAGCAGGACAUAGUGAUCCGGUGGUUCUGUAUGGAAGGGCCAUCGCUCAACGGAUAAAAGGUACUCUGGGGAUAACAGGCUGAUACCGCCCAAGAGUUCAUAUCGACGGCGGUGUUUGGCACCUCGAUGUCGGCUCAUCUCAUCCUGGGGCUGUAGCCGGUCCCAAGGGUAUGGCUGUUCGCCAUUUAAAGAGGUACGUGAGCUGGGUUUAAAACGUCGUGAGACAGUUUGGUCCCUAUCUUCCGUGGGCGCUGCAGAUUUGAGGAAGCCUGCUCCUAGUACGAGAGGACCGGAGUGGAAACACCUCUGGUGUAUCGGUUGUCACGCCAGUGGCAUUGCCGAGUAGCUAUGUGUGGAAGAGAUAACCGCUGAAAGCAUCUAAGCGGGAAACUCGUUUCAAGAUGAGAUCUGCCGGGGCCUUGAGCCCCCUAAAGAGUCGUUCAAGACCAGGACGUUGAUAGGUCGGGUGUGGAAGCGCAGUAAUGCGUUAAGCUAACCGAUACUAAUUGCUCGUGCGGCUUGACCU
rnacentral:rRNA from 1 species